rnacentral:rRNA from 1 species
AUUUCAACAUACUUAUUUAUNNNGAGGAUGGUUGGUGAUUCAUGAUAACUUCUCGAAUCGCAUGGCCUUGUGCCGGCGAUGGUUCAUUCAAAUUUCUUCCCUAUCAACUUUCGAUGUUUGGGUAUUGGCCAAACAUGGUUGCAACGGGUAACGGAGGGUUAGGGCUCGACCCCGGAGAAGGAGCCUGAGAAACGGCUACUACAUCCAAGGAAGGCAGCAGGCGCGCAAAUUACCCAAUCCCGACACGGGGAGGUAGUGACAAUAAAUACUGAUACAGGGCUCUUUUGGGUCUUGUAAUUGGAAUGAGUACAAUUUAAAUCCCUUAACGAGGAACAAUUGGAGGGCAAGUCUGGUGCCAGCAGCCGCGGUAAUUCCAGCUCCAAUAGCGUAUAUUAAAGUUGUUGUGGUUAAAAAGCUCGUAGUUGAACCUUGGGCCUGGCUGGCCGGUCCGCCUCACCGCGUGUACUGGUCCGGCCGGGCCUUUCCCUCUGUGGAACCCCAUGCCCUUCACUGGGUGUGGCGGGGAAACAGGACUUUUACUUUGAAAAAAUUAGAGUGCUCCAGGCAGGCCUAUGCUCGAAUACAUUAGCAUGGAAUAAUAGAAUAGGACGUGUGGUUCUAUUUUGUUGGUUUCUAGGACCGCCGUAAUGAUUAAUAGGGACAGUCGGGGGCAUCAGUAUUCAAUUGUCAAAGGUGAAAUUCUUGGAUUUAUUGAAGACUAACUACUGCGAAAGCAUUUGCCAAGGAUGUUUUCAUUAAUCANGAACGAAG